UAUGGUAAUUGCCAGCCGCCGCGGUAAUACGUAGGCGGCAAGCGUUGUCCGGAAUUAUUGGGCGUAAAGGGAGCGCAGGCGGGAAACUAAGCGGAUCUUAAAAGUGCGGGGCUCAACCCCGUGAUGGGGUCCGAACUGGUUUUCUUGAGUGCAGGAGAGGAAAGCGGAAUUCCCAGUGUAGCGGUGAAAUGCGUAGAUAUUGGGAAGAACACCAGUGGCGAAGGCGGCUUUCUGGACUGUAACUGACGCUGAGGCUCGAAAGCUAGGGUAGCGAACGGG
rnacentral:rRNA from 1 species